rnacentral:rRNA from 1 species
GAUGAACGCUGGCGGCGUGCCUAAUACAUGCAAGUCGAGCGAACAGAUGAGAAGCUUGCUUCUCUGAUGUUAGCGGCGGACGGGUGAGUAACACGUGGGUAACCCACCUAUAAGACUGGGAUAACUCCGGGAAACCGGGGCUAAUACCGGAUAAUAUUUUGAACCGCAUGGUUCAAUAGUGAAAGACGGUUUCGGCUGUCACUUAUAGAUGGACCCGCGCCGUAUUAGCUAGCUGGUAAGGUAACGGCUUACCAAGGCGACGAUACGUAGCCGACCUGAGGUGGUGAUCCGCCACACUGGAACUGAGACACGGUCCAGACUCCUACGGGAGGCAGCAGUAGGGAAUCUUCCGCAAUGGGCGAAAGCCUGACGGAGCAACGCCGCGUGAGUGAUGAAGGUCUUCGGAUCGUAAAACUCUGUUGUUAGGGAAGAACAAAUUUGUUAGUAACUGAACAAGUCUUGACGGUACCUAACCAGAAAGCCACGGCUAACUACGUGCCAGCCGCCGCCGUAA